rnacentral:sRNA from 1 species
GCGAGACGGGUGGGCCGGAGGCACGGUGCGACCGAUAAACUGUUCUCGGAUGACGCCGGGCGCAGCCCCCCGCGUCGUCCGCCAAUGAUCAGCCAGCAGCCGCUGCAACCCCAGGGAG